GGUGUGUACAAUCUUCCAAGAUGGCGUAGCAGUCAGACGUCUUGUUCUGUCGUGUCCCUUGUAUAUAUCGUUUGUACAUAUUUUUAUUCGCAUAUCUUUUUAAAUAUUUUGCUAAACCUCAACCUCUAAAUACUCUCCUGCAACCCGCCUCACCCAAUGUAGCGUGGAUCUGCUUUUUUUUCUAAAGUAUUUAUAUUUACUUCGGAUCUGGAACCCGUCAACUGAAGCUAGCCAGCUAACUACCAGCUAUCAGUCAGCAAACCAUUGCUAGCUGUCAUCAGCUAACCUUUAGCUCGGAAAGCUCUCGCCAGUUCGAACAACGCAACUCUAACCAGAGCAUAACGGACCUAUUAUUUUUAGUUCCGCAUACGGAACAUUUUCAACUGGAUCUUCACAACUAGCUAACCGCAACCCCGGAUGACUACUCCUGGCUAGCAUUUCCAUCCACUUAGGUUGAAGCUAGCCCGGCCAGAGCUACUGUGCUACUCCUGGGCUACAAUAUCCGGACAUCUUCUACAGCCGGUACGGGGCAUGGAACCCCGCAGAUCCCCUACGUCAGGAAUACUGACAUAAUCUGCCCGAGGACUCAGGCGCGACGCCUGUUGAAGGCCCAUUAUGCUAACCAGCUAGGCCUGCUUAGCUACCUAGAGCUAUUUGGAAUCCUACUAAUUCCAUGACCAGUCUAUCGACAUCACCGCAUGAAGAGGCAUAAACAGACUUAACUACAUCGUGACUUUCCCCAAAGGCUAACUUUCUAGCCCUUGCUAUCUGCUUGCUUGCUAAUUCGGCCUGCUAAAUGCUAGCCUGCCCGGGUCUACUAACUGCUAGCUUGUUUAGCCCCGGUAUGCUAACUGCUAGCUUGUUUAGCCCCGGCCUACUAACUGUUAGCUUGUUAGCACAGGCUUGCUAACUGUCUGAAUCGCCGUGUCCCCAGCCAGCCCAACCACUCACUGGACCCAUAUUUAUUUUCAAUCUCUUUUCGAUUUUUAAUUUGAUUAUACCUUCCAGUAACCUGCCUCACCCAAUGUGAUACGGAAUCGCUAUUAUUUUUAACUUUAGAACACAUUCAAGAACCUCCAGAAGCUAACCCGCUAACUAGCUACAAGCUAUUUAGUCAUUGUUAGCCACUGCUAUUACCUUCUGCACAGCCAGCCAGUUUUUUCAGCCUGGAUAAUACUCGCCAGUCUACCAGUAUCGAACUGUCUCUCCACAACAACGCUGGAUUCUUGCCGUAAUGGACCACUACUUCUGAUCUUCACAGCUAGCUUGCACCCAGUACCGAAGCUAUCCCUGAGGCCCACUUCCCGGCCUACUCAGCUGUUCACCCGAACCACACUCAUACAUGGCUAGAGCCCAAUACUCCACCGGAUACUUGCUGUAAACUCUGGACCUUGGCUAACGCCACUGCCACGAAGCUAGCACCAGUUAGCCGUGAGCCAGGCACAUCUCCCUGCUAGCAGGCACAUCUCCCUGCCAACCCCCUACCACCCCCGGGCUACUAACUUUAAACACUGUGUCGCUAGCAUAGUGGCGACUUCCCUCUCCCAUCUACUGCUGCCCCCUGGACACUGUGAUCACUUGGCUACAUAGCUGAUGCCUGCUGGACUGUCCAUUAUUCAUGGACCUGAGCCCUAGGACCAUGCCCCAGGACUACCUGACAUGAUGACUCCUUGCUGUCCCCAGUCCACCUGGCCGUGCUGCUGCUCCAGUUUCAACUGUUCUGCCUUAUUAUUAUUCGACCAUGCUGGUCAUUUAUGAACAUUUGAACAUCUUGGCCAUGUUCUGUUAUAAUCUCCACCCGGCACAGCCAGAAGAGGACUGGCCACCCC
ensembl:lncRNA